rnacentral:rRNA from 1 species
CCAAGAAUUUUCCGCAAUGGGGGAAACCCUGACGGAGCGACGCCGCGUGAAGGAUGAAGGUCUUAGGAUUGUAAACUUCUUUUAUAAGGGAAGAAUAAGGUGCGUAGGAAAUGACGCACCGAUGACGGUACCUUAUGAAUAAGCCCCGGCUAAUUACGUGCCAGCAGCCGCGGUAAUACGUGAGGGGCGAGCGUUACUCGGAAUUACUGGGCGUAAAGGGCGUGCAGGCGGUCUUUCAAGUCUAAUGUAAAAACCCACGGCUUAACUGUGGAUCUGCAUUGGAAACUGUGAGACUUGAGUCUGGUGGAGGGUAAUGGAAUUCCCGGUGUAGCGGUGAAAUGCGUAGAUAUCGGGAAGAACACCGAAGGCUAAAGCAGUUACCUAUGCCAAGACUGACGCUGAGGCGCGAAAGCAUGGGUAUCAAACAGG